GACGAACGCUGGCGGCGUGCUUAACACAUGCAAGUCGAACGGAAAGGCCCUGCUUUUGUGGGGUGCUCGAGUGGCGAACGGGUGAGUAACACGUGAGUAACCUGCCCUUGACUUUGGGAUAACUUCAGGAAACUGGGGCUAAUACCGGAUAGGAGCUCCUGCUGCAUGGUGGGGGUUGGAAAGUUUCGGCGGUUGGGGAUGGACUCGCGGCUUAUCAGCUUGUUGGUGGGGUAGUGGCUUACCAAGGCUUUGACGGGUAGCCGGCCUGAGAGGGUGACCGGCCACAUUGGGACUGAGAUACGGCACAGACUCCUACGGGAGACAGCAGUGGGGAAUAUUGCACAAUGGGCGGAAGCCUGAUGCAGAAACGCCGCGUGCGGGAUGACGGCCUUCGGGUUGUAAACCGCUUUCGCCUGUGACGAAGCGUGAGUGACGGUAAUGGGUAAAGAAGCACCGGCUAAAUACG
rnacentral:rRNA from 1 species